AGGAUUUGGGUAGGUAAAGGAAAAUUACAGUCAAAGGGGGGUUGUUCUCUGGCGGGCAGAGUGGGAGUCACAAGGUACUCAGUGGGGGAGCUUUUGAGCCAGGAUGAGCCAGGAGAAGGAAUUUCACAAGAGAAUGUCAUCAGUUAAGGCAGGAACAGGCCAUUUUCACUUCUUUUGUGGUGGAAUGUCAUCAGUUAAGGCGGGAACCGGCCAUCUGGAUGUGUACGUGCAGGUCACAGGGGAUAUGAUGGCUUAGCUUGGGCUCAGAGGCCUGACAUUCCUGUCUUCUUAUAUUAAUAAGAAAAAUAAAAUGAAAUAGUGGUAAAGUGUUGGUACGGUGAAAAUUUUGGGGGAUGGUAUGGAGAGAGAGAAUGGGCGAUGUUUCUCAGGGCUGCUUUGAGCGGGAUUAGGGGUGGCGUGGGAACCUAGAGUGGGAGAGAUUAAGCUGAAGGAAGAUUUUGUGGUAAGGGGUGAUAUUGUGGGACUGUUAGAAGAAACAUUCGUCAUUUAGAAUUAUUGGUGAUGGCCUGGAUACAUUUUUGUAUGAAUUGAAAAACUAAAAGGAAUAAGAGAAGGAGAAAAACAGGUAUUAAAGGACUAAGAAUUGGGAAGACCCAGGACAUCUGAUUAGAGAGUGCCUAAGGAGGUUCAGCAUAGCCUUGCCAGUAAAGAUUAUUUAUUUCCUUUAGAGUUAAGAGUGGCGGUUUGGGGAUAGCACCAGGAGAUAUCAGCUGUGGUGGCUUGGAGAAACAGUGUAAACUGGCAGUGUAAACAAGAGCAGGGCAUGUAUGAAUAGUUGAGAACGGUGAAUAGGAGUAUGACUAGACAGAAGACAGUAGGGAUGACAAGUUUUUUGGGGCACAGCCCAAGUUGGUCUGGUGUCUAGAAUGAGACUGGGGCUUAAUAAAAAGGAGCUCAAAUGGGCUGUACCUUGUAGCAUUCCGAGGACAGGCCUGAAUUCUGAGAAGCGAAAGUGGUAAGAGUAUUGUCCAUUCCUUUUUAAGUUGGUGGCUGAGCUUGGUGAGGUGACCUUUAGUCCGUUCUACUUUUCUUGAAGAUGGAGGACCGUAAGGGAUAUAAAGGUUUCACUAAAUACUAACAGCCUAAAAAACUGCUUGGCUGAUUUGACUAAUAAAGGCUGGUCUGUUAUCAGACUGUAUAGAGGUGGGAAGGCUAAACUGAGGAAUUAUGUCUGACAGAAGGGAAGAAAUGACUGCAGUGGCCUUCUCAGACCCUGUAGGAAAGGCUUGUACCUAUCCAGUGAAAGUGUCUACCUAGACUAAGAGGUAUUUUAGUUAUCAGAGUUAUCUGACUCGGGGCAUGUUGAGUAAAGCUAAUUUGCCAGUCCUGGGUGGGGGCAAAUCCUCGAGCUUGAUGUGUAGGGAAGGGAGGGGGCCUGAAUAAUCCCUGAGGAGUAGUAGAAUAGCAGAUGGAACACUGAGAAGUUAUUUCCUUGAGGAUAGAUUUCCACGAUGGAAAGAAAAUGAGAGGUUCUAAGAGCCGGGCUAGUGGCUUGUACUAUAGCAUAGCCUGCCUUUGCUGGUGUGUGGCGAUUAGGCCUGGUGGAACUGCCAUCAGUAAAUCAAGCGUGAUCAGCGUGAGGAACAGGAAAGAAGGAAAUAUGGGGAAAUGGGGUGAAUGUCAGGUGGAUAAGAGAGAUACAGUCAUGGGAGUCAGGUGUGGUAUCAGGAAUAAUGUGGGAGGCUGGAUUGAAGUCCGGGCCAGGAACAAUGGUAAUUGUGGGACUUAACAAAGAGUGAGUACAGCUGAAGGAGCCAGGGAGCAGAAAGUAUAUGCGUCAGGUAUGAGGAAGAAAAUAGAUUUUGGAAGUUAUGAGAAAUGUAGAGAGUAAGUUGAGUAUAGUUUGUGAUUUUGAGGGCCUCUGAAAGUAUUAGGGCGGCAGCAGCCGCUGCACGGAGACAUGAGGGCUAGGCUAAAACAGUAAGGUCAAGUUGUUUGCACAGAAAGGCUACAGGGUGCGGUCCUGGCUCUUGUGUAAGAAUUCUGACUGCACUAACCAUGCCUAGGAAGGAAAGGAGUUGUUGUUUUGUAAGGGAUUGGGGUUUGGGAGAUUAAUCAGACACGAUCAGCAGGGAGAGCACGUAUGUUUUUGUGAGAAUUAUGCUGAGAUAGGUAACAGAUAAGGAAGAAAUUUGGGCUUGACUUAAGUAAUGGGGGCUGUCUGUGAAGCUUUGUGGCAGUACAGCCCAGGUAAUUUGCUGAGCCUGAUGGGUGUCAGGGUCAGUCCAAGUGAAAGUGAAGGGAGGCUGGGAUGACGGGUGCAAAGGAAUAGUAAAGAAAGCAUGUUUGAGAUCUAGAACAGAAUAAUGGAUUGUGGAGGGAGGUAUUGAGGAUAGGAGAGUAUAUGGGUUUGGCACCAUGGGGUGGAUAGGCAAAACAAUUUGGUUGAUAAGGCAUAGAUCCUGAACUAACUUGUAAGGCUUGUCUGGUUUUAGGACAGGUAAAAUGGGGGAAUUGUAAGGAGAGUUUAUAGGCUUUUAAAGGCCAUGCUGUAGCAGGUGAGUGAUAACAGGCUUUAAUCCUUUCAAAGCAUGCUGUGGGAUGGGAUAUUGGCAUUGAGCAGGGUAAGGGUGAUUAGGUUUUAACGAGAUGGUAAGGGGUGCAUGAUCGGUCGCCAAGGAGGGAGUAGAGGUAUCUUAUACUUGUGGGUUAAGGUGGGGGAAUACAAGAGGAGGACGCAAAGGAGGCUUUGGAUUGGGAAGAAGGGCAGCAAUGAGAUGUAACUGUAAUCCAGGAAUAGUCAGGGAAGCAGAUAAUUUAGUUAAAGUGUCUUGGCCUAAUAAGGGAACUGGGCAGGUGGGGAUAACUAAAAAGGAGUGCUUUAAAGAGUAUUGUCUAAGUUGGCACCAGAGUUGGGGAGUUUUAAGAGGUUUAGAAGGCUGGCUGUCAAUACCCACAACAGUUAUGGAGGCAAGGGAAACAGGCCCUUGAAAAGAAGGUAAUGUGGAGUGGGUAGCCUCCAUAUUGAUUAAGAAGGGGACAGACUUACCUUCCACUGUGAGAGUUACGCGAAGCUCAGCGUCCGUGAUGGUCUACGGGGCUUCCCAGGCGAUCGGGCAGUGUCAGUCUUCAGCCGCUAAGCCAAGAUCUGGGAAGCAGUCAGGGAGUCUUGGGCCAGAGUCCCAGGGGCUCUGGGAGUGGCUGCCAGGUCCUGGAUUUGUUGGAAAGUUCCGUGUAAUUCCUGGAGUUCUAUGGUGACGUUGUCAAGUACAAAGCGCUGGCCUAGGAGCUACGACAUGGGAGUUCCAAGCCUGCUCUUUCUCGCACGAGCUGAAACCAUUCAAUUGGAAUAGAAAUCAAGGGAUCAUUAAAUUCAUCCUUCUGCAUUCAGAUUCAGAAAAGCCUGAAUUUGCAAAAAGUUUGUUUCGAUCAUCAUAGGCAAGGUGAAAUAGAAAGUCGAAGAAAUCAUCUCGGUCAUUACGAGUCCUCAAGUAGUUGCUUUUUGUACUUUGAAUAAAGACUUUAGUCAUAGUAGGAGAGAUAGACUGUAAUGGACUUACUUCACGAUGGCUGCACCAGAGGUUCCAAGAACGAUGGCUUUCAACUUCAACCCACAUCUAAAACACACCACUGUAGCCACACCCUACACCCUGUGGUUAUCCAGUUGUGAGUCCUAUUGGAGAGAUGAGGUGUAUGACAGUUUCCUGGAGGGGGUCAUAUGGAUCUACUACUACCUUCCCACUGACAUUAGGCAGAUGUUCAUUAGAUUGGUUUGAUAGAUGUAAUGGUUAAUAUUGAGUGUCAACUUGAUUGGAUUGAAGGAUGCAAAGUAUUGUUCCUGGGUGCGUCUGUGAGGGUGUUGCCAAAGGAGAUUAACAUUUGAAUCAUUGGACUGGGAGAGGCAGACCCACCCUCAAUCUGGGUGGGCACAAUCUAAUCAGCUGCCAGCAUGGCCAGCAUAAAAGCAGGCAGAAGAAUGUGGAAGGAGUAGACUGGCUCAGUCUCCUGGCCUACAUCUUUCUCCCACGCUGCAUGCUUCCUGCCCUCGAACAUUGGACUCCAAGUUCUUCAGUUUUGGGACUCUUGAACCUUUGACCACAGACUGAAGGCUACACUGUUGACUUCCCUACUUUUGAGCUUUUAGGACUCGGACUGGCUUCCUUGUUCCUCAGCUUGCAGACGGCCUAUUGUGGGACCUCACUUUGUGAUCAUGUGAGUCAAUACUCCUUAAUAAACUCUCCUUUAAAUAUACAUCUAUCUUGUUAGUUCUGUCCCUCUAGAGAACCUUGACUAAUACGAUAGGGAAGCCAUAGUGACUGUCACUAAUAUUCUAAUAAAAGAAUUAUUAUCUAUGCCAACUCUGGAGAGCCACAGGUAAGCUAUACAUAGAUCAAAGUGUAAACCAGGGGUUCUCUGAGUGUGAUUCCUGGACCAGCAGUAUGUGGUGACAUUUGAAAUGCAAAUUCUUGGGCCCCACCUCAGACCACUGAAUUAGAAACUCCAGAGGUGGAGCUCAGCAGUUUGUUUUAACUAGUUCUCCAGGUGAUGCUGAGGCACAUCACAGUUGGAAAUGGUGAGGUAAGUAAGGAAUUUCAGCAGUUCAACUGCUGAAAUGUAGAUCUUAACAAAGUGCUAAAUGAAUAGAGGAAAAAGGGAUAAUUAUCUGAGACAUUUGGAUCUUGUUUCACGAAUAGGAGUUCAGAUGAAGUUAGGGAGGUCUUUUGAAGUAUAGGAAACAAGACAUGCAAAGACUGGGGAGGUUAGGAAGACCAGACCUAUUUCAAGAUAUACAAUGGCCUAGUGGGGCUUGAGGUAGCAGGGUGCAUUCUUUUUCUUAGAUAUGCUUCCUCCUCUCUGCUCCAUGGUGCCACACAUGAUGCUGGUGAUAAAGGAGACUGAGCGAGGGUAAAGAUUCACAGUGCCAGCAAGGGCUUGGACAUUGGCAGCCUAUGGAUCAAAUUGUGCUUGCAGAUGGGCUGUAUUUGGUAUUUUAUUGUACAAACACUAUGUAUUUGGCAUAGCAUUAUACAAAUAAAUGUGAACUAACAUUUAAUAAUCAGUUUGGAUGUAUAUAUGUGUAUAUAUAUUAUGUAUAAAUAACAUAUAUGCUAACACAAAAAUAUAUGUGCUAUAUUUAUAUUCUAUACAAAUAACAUAUAAAUAUAUGUUAACAUAUAAAAAUAUAUG
rnacentral:lncRNA from 1 species